rnacentral:rRNA from 1 species
CAGUCAUGCUAGUGAAGAAUCAGUUUGACGGGUUUUGAGUUCGGGAGUAGAGGCAGGGUCAAACCGUUUCUCUUUUGAACUUGGGAUUUGUCAGAUGUACUUUUUCUUUGGUCAGGUCAGCGUCGAUUCCGGAGGUUGUAAAAUACUUGGGGGAAAGUAACUCUGCUUCGGGAGAGUAUUAUAGACCCUGGGGGUUGCAGCCUGCGGGAUCGGAGGAUUGCAGCAAAUGCCUUUGGCUUGUCGCCUGAUCUCUGGAUGCUACCUCGCUUGUGACAACAUUCUUGCCAUCUGUGGUACUAAUGCCCAUUACGGUUAGAGCGGU